rnacentral:lncRNA from 1 species
UUGCAACCCUUUGCCAUUUUUCAAAAUCUGCAUUUUCUUAAAAGCACUAUUUCUGUGGAUGAGUUAAGCAAUUUAAGGACAUGAUAGGUUUUUUUUUUUUUUUUUUUUUAAAUUCAGGUAAGGUGUGCAAAUAUAGGAUCAAAGGUUUUGUGACUGCAUUUCUUCUCGUGGUGAGCUUGGUGACCUAUGACAGAGGAGAUGACUGAUGGAAGAAGGCUCUUGAUGAGAGGAAGUGAUCCAACAAAGAUGAAAGACACUUGGUUAAGUUUUGCUCAGAAAGGGGAGUCGUCUUUAUAUAACAGCAAAGAAAGGAAAUUCACAAUCAACAAAUCUGUGAUCUUUGGAAAAUUUAGCUUUUUCUCUACUAUACUAGCAAGACUUUGUUUUAGUCCCCAUUCCUCAGGAAUUCUACCUUUGGGGAGGAAGAGUAUUUUGUUGAGACAGGAACAUACAAUGACGACAGUUUGGUCAUGA